CCCACUCUGGUCACAUCUGUCCACACUAGACCUAGGGAUUAAUGAGGGCAGGUUCCUGCCUGCAAGUCUCAGAUAAAUAGUGACACAAUCCUUCCAAUUCUGGACGUACCACGGUCCAUGUGUACAAGUUCCAGUAAGAAAAUGUCAUCUUUAACAUUUUUUAAGGCUGUAGCAAUUAAGACAAGAUGCUCUGGAAGUCUUGUCUGGCAACAGCACCUCCAUCAAUGAGCUGACGUCAGGUUCUGCCUCAGGUCCAGUAAGCUCACUGAAGUGGCCCUGUUUGCCUUGCCUCAACCUCUGUGAAUGUGCUCAAGGACUACAGAGGUACAUGGGUUCUCCAUGUGAUGUUUUGCUCUUCUGAUAAACAGAAAAGUAAACCCAGUGCAGAGAGUCUACGGACCACAAACUCAGGAGGAACAGUGAUGCUGAUGACCAUCUGCCUUGGCAGAUCAGCACCUCCACCCUCGCUGUGCACAUGAGAAACUCAAUCAGGUCAGAGCCGCUGUCCUCCUGCCCCGUGUGGUUGGUUUACAGAGAGCCGAUAUCUACCUAUGGUUUCUUCUCCCACCCCGUCAGAGGCACUAACACCAUUGGUUCUGCAGUGCUGUCUCAGAAGAAUCCUAAUUAAAACUUACUUUUCCAUGGCAACUGCUAUAUCUUGAAA